AUUGAACGCUGGCGGCAUGCCUUACACAUGCAAGUCGAACGGUAACAGGUCUUCGGAUGCUGACGAGUGGCGAACGGGUGAGUAAUACAUCGGAACGUGCCUAGUAGUGGGGGAUAACUACUCGAAAGAGAGGCUAAUACCGCAUGAGAUCUACGGAUGAAAGCAGGGGAUCACAAGACCUUGUGCUACUAGAGCGGCCGAUGGCAGAUUAGGUAGUUGGUGGGAUAAAAGCUUACCAAGCCGACGAUCUGUAGCUGGUCUGAGAGGACGAUCAGCCACACUGGGACUGAGACACGGCCCAGACUCCUACGGGAGGCAGCAGUGGGGAAUUUUGGACAAUGGGCGAAAGCCUGAUCCAGCAAUGCCGCGUGCAGGAUGAAGGCCUUCGGGUUGUAAACUGCUUUUGUACGGAACGAAAAGCCCCGGGUUAAUACCCUGGGGUCAUGACGGUACCGUAAGAAUAAGCACCGGCUAACUACGUGCCAGCAGCCGCGGUAA
rnacentral:rRNA from 1 species